rnacentral:rRNA from 1 species
UACGAAGGGGGCUAGCGUUGCUCGGAAUUACUGGGCGUAAAGGGCGCGUAGGCGGAUAGUUUAGUCAGAGGUAAAAGCCCAGGGCUCAACCUUGGAACUGCCUUUGAUACUGGCUAUCUUGAGUUCGGGAGAGGUGAGUGGAAUGCCGAGUGUAGAGGUGAAAUUCGUAGAUAUUCGCAAGAACACCAGUGGCGAAGGCGGCUCACUGGCUCGAUACUGACGCUGAGGUGCGAAAGCGUGGGAGCAAACAGG